UGGGGAAUUUUGGACAAUGGGGGCAACCCUGAUCCAGCCAUGCCGCGUGAGUGAAGAAGGCCUUCGGGUUGUAAAGCUCUUUUGGCGGGGAAGAAAAGGCAACGGCUAAUAUCCGUUGUUGAUGACGGUACCCGCAUAAGAAGCACCGGCUAAAUACGUGCCAGCAGCCGCGGUAAUACGUAGGGUGCGAGCGUUUAUCUGAAUUAUUGGGGGUAAAGCGUGCGCAGGCGGUUUUGUAAGACAGACGUGAAAUCCCCGGGCUCAACCUGGGAAAUGCGUUUGUGACUGCGAGGCUAGAGUACGGCAGAGGGGGGUAGAAUUCCACGUGUAGCACUGAAAUGCGUAGAGAUGUGGAGGAAAACCGAUGGCGAAGGCAGCCCCCCGGGUUAGUACUGACGCUCAUGCACGAAAGCGUGGGGAGCAAACAGGAUUAGAUACCCCGGUAGUCCACGCCCUAAACGAUGUCAAAUAGGUGUUGGAAGGGUUAAACCUUUUAGUACCGCAGCUAACGCG
rnacentral:rRNA from 1 species